rnacentral:rRNA from 1 species
UACGUAGGGGGCAAGCGUUGUCCGGAAUCAUUGGGCGUAAAGCGCGUGUAGGCGGUGCUCCCAGUCUGUUGUGAAAUCUCCCGGCUUAACUGGGAGGGUGCAGCGGAAACUAGAGUGCUAGAGGGUGGGAGAGGUAAGCGGAAUUCCUGGUGUAGCGGUGAAAUGCAUAGAUAUGUCACAGAACACCAAUUGCGAAGGCAGCUUGCUAUGGUAUAAUUGACGCUGAGGCACGAAAGCGUGGGGAUCAAACAGG